rnacentral:tRNA from 1 species
UCCUUUGUGGUCUAAUGGUCAUUAUUUCUGCUUGUCACGCGGGAGAUCGGGGUUCAAUUCCCCGCGGAGGAG